rnacentral:ncRNA from 1 species
UAAAAUACGGUGAAAAGAUGAGUACGAACGAAAACCUGAUUAGAGAGUUUCUGGCUGGUGGAAAGAAACCUGGUUAUCGUUUGGAAGAUGGUCUUGAAGUGAGGGUUACCGAGCAGUUGCAAGGUGACCAUGGGUGCGCCCAUUAUCGCGCUAGGGUAUGUUUGUACCUAGUGAGGGGAUGUGCGCGAGUGCAUCCUAAAAUAAGGUGGUAGCACGUUAAAUCGUCCUUACU